UUUUUUCAAUCAGAAACAAAAGAUUUAUUAAUUAUAGAAAAGGUACAAGGGAAGGAUGAGAGGUCCUCCCCCACAAAAUACAUGAUACUAAUCAAAAUAAGACUAAACACCUCCACUACACAAGGAGAACUAUACACAAAGGCAUAGGCUACUUAAAGGAUAUACAAAUCCCCUCAAAACCGGACUCAAUUCCUCUAUGUUUGCCCAAUAGGCAAUAUGGGAUCAAUGAUGAUUGGUGGGGUCAUAAAAAAAUUCAGAUUGCAAUUUUUAUUUUUUUUUCAAUCAGAAACAAAAGAUAUAUUAAUUAUAAAAAAGGUACAAGGGAAGGAUGAGAGGUCCUCCCCCACAAAAUACAUAAUACUAAUCAAAAUAAGACUUAAAAACCUCCACUACACAAGGAGAACUAUACACAAAGGCAUAGGCUACUUAAAGGAUAUACAAAUCUCCUCAAAACCGGGCUCAAUUCCUCUCAAUGUUAUCCUCCCCCCUCCCUCUUCAAAAGCUAACCAAAUUGAAUAACUUUAAGUGUAACACCUUUAAGGUGAUAAUACAAGAGGCCCACAA
rnacentral:lncRNA from 1 species